rnacentral:rRNA from 1 species
GACGAACGCUGGCGGCGUGCCUAAUACAUGCAAGUCGAGCGGACUGAUUAAGAGCUUGCUCUUAUGGCGUUAGCGGCGGACGGGUGAGUAACACGUGGGCAACCUGCCCUGUAGAUCGGGAUAACACCGAGAAAUCGGUGCUAAUACCGGGUAAUAUCUGAGAUCACAUGAUCUUAGGUUAAAAGAUGGCUCCGGCUAUCACUACAGGAUGGGCCCGCGGCGCAUUAGCUAGUUGGUAAGGUAAUGGCUUACCAAGGCGACGAUGCGUAGCCGACCUGAGAGGGUGAUCGGCCACACUGGGACUGAGACACGGCCCAGACUCCUACGGGAGGCAGCAGUAGGGAAUCUUCCGCAAUGGACGAAAGUCUGACGGAGCAACGCCGCGUGAGUGAUGAAGGGUUUCGGCUCGUAAAGCUCUGUUGUUAGGGAAGAAACAGUACCGAACGAACUAGGUCGGUACCUUGACGGUACCUAACCAGAAAGCCACGGCUAACUACGUG